CUCUUCUCUAAAAUGUGUGCUUCAUUUGUUUUUCCCUCUAAUCUUUGCCUAAAAUUCAACCCGUUCAAAAUUCUGACUAUGUACGCAUAUUUUGAAGUUAUGUGGCUUUAUCCUUAUCAAUUAGGCACCAAAGAAAUCUACAUUGUAUUGCUGUUACUUUGUCUUGGUAAAGGCUAACCCUAAAAGUUAUCAGCGGUUGCUAUGUGUUACUGCAAUGGUUGUAUUUGCAGAAAGUUAUUUUUAUUUCAUGUCAUACUGGUCAAAUCUUGGUGGCACUGAUGUGUAAAUUACAGGGACUCCCUAAAAUAAUAGCCACAUCCACAUAUUGGUAAACACUUGUGCAUGCCUACAUAAUUCCUUAGUAUAGACAAAUUAUUUAAAGAACAGUAAUAUUUAGUGAAGCUAUCUUUUUUCACACACAUUGUGAUUUAGCAAUUAUACUAAAAUAUAUAUUCAUAUACUUCAGUAGCGUUUUUAGACCUCUCUGCUGUCAUUGAGAAUUUUUUUAAAGACAUGGUAGAUAGUGUGUGGAGGAUGUGGACACGUGCCAUUUUAACAAACAAGAAGAUAUAUUUAGAUUAGAAAUUGUUUGGUUUGCCUUUAGAUAAUAGUUUACUUCACUUCAGUAGUUUAGGCGUUAAAAGAAGUUAGGUACUGCCAUGCCUAUUGUUGGAUAGUUUAGUUCAUAUAGAAAAGAAUACUUCUUUAGGACUGGUUAAUUAAUUAAAAGAAUUUUUAGUUUGUAAGAAAAUCAUUCCAUGCAUAGAUUAUUAUCUGUGGUAUCUGGGCACAAAUCGGAAUCUUUGUUCUUAUGUGAGUAUUUCCUUGCCAGUAUCUUCCCAAGUUAGAAAAAAAUACAUAUAGGACUUCCUCACCCUACCCUGUAUUUAUACUACCCAUAACUAGCAAGAAGUUGUUCUUGUUCUAUAUUGUUUGUUUUUUGUUUGUUUGGUUGGUUGGUGGUUGGCUGGGUGUUUGAUUUUAGCAGAAUGACAGGGUGCAUUUAAUUUCAAUUUUCAGCCAGAAAAGUUGCCACUAUUUUACUAACUUGCUGAAAGAUGUCUGUAAGAUUGCCUUACAUUUUUCAGCACGUUGGCCUGUGCCCAUCACAGUCCUGUGUACAAGUCACUUAACCUCUGUGUGCCUGAACAAGUUGUGUUUUUUAAAGUAGUUCGGCUUGGCCAAAGCCUGUCUUGGGGGUAGGGUUGAGGUGGAGUGGUGGAGAAGGCAGCUACUUGGAGAUCCCCAGUGAGCCUCGGAGACCACUGUCCAAAAUGGGAUAUUGUGUGAGAGAGGCAAGACCUAAUACUAUAGAUCACUUCUUAUGUGCAUUUCCAAGACUGACAAAGCAAAGGCAAUAUACAGUCAUUCAGCUCCAUGUUCAGAUCACAAUCGGUAUGAGAUUUUUGAGCUACUUGAGUGUUUUGCCUGGGAUACAAACCCAGGAUGAUGAGGCUGUCACCACUGAUCUCUUAAUUAUGAAGAAUAGUCUCCUUUAUCAGCAGUAUUGGAGAUAAGAAAGUACUGUGCAUGAAAAUGUACUAGAAAUAUCGGAUUCUUACAAGGAAAUGGAUCACAGACAGAUUCUUGCCUAGCAGUAAAGUGCCUUUAUUUUCAGGAUAUAGGACAAAUAUUAGACCUGCUCCAAUUUGAUUUUCAGUUUUCCUUUAGUUUUCACCAGAUUGUACUCGGUACUCCUAAAUAUUAUUGGGCCAUCAGAAGCAAUAUGGUAUAUACAGUACAUUUAAGAUGAGAGGAAGAAAGUUUAAUUGCUAACCUUUCCUGUGAUGGGUAUAGUUAAAAUUCAGAUGGUACAGUUUAAUUGUUCAGUAUCAAACAUGCAUCAGCCCACCUUUUAUUGAAUCCUUGCCGCAUAUAAGGCAUUGUGCCUAGCUGUGGAGACAGAACAGUUACUAUAGUGAAUUCACAGUCUAUGCAUGCAAUGCCAGUUAAGACACCUAACAGUUUCUGAUCCUGCAAAUUGAACAUGAAAAUAUAGAGUAUAUUCUGUCUCUUUCAUUUUCAUCUGUAACAUAUGUGCUAUGCACCUUUCAUUAAGAAUCUAUCAGUGAGCAUCCUGAUAGUGUGAAUCACUUUAACCUCCUGACAGCUAAAAGAGCACCCUAUGUAAGGAGUCAUAGAUUCCAUUAUGUUUCCAUAUACAGGCCACGUAAUGAUAACUCAAGAGUUCUCAUGGACUGUAAAAUUGUGCAGUUUGGGGACCCCUUCUGCUCUACCACAGGGAGCGAAGAAGAAAGUAUCAAAGCUCAUUUCACCUUUCCAUAUACUUAUCAAAAGCCUGUGUUAAGUAUGUCUUAAGGUUGUUGAAAGCAAUGUAAAUAGUUGAAAAUAUAAAUUUCUAUUACACUUGAAGAUAUAAACCUUAUGAAUCAUCACUAGCCACUGUUAAUAUCUAUUUGUAUUCUUCUUAUACCUUUUCAGUAUUUGAACAAAUAUAUAGUUUCUGGCACUAUUUUUAUACUAGGAUAAUGGCAUUACUAUGUAUAUUAUGUUUAGCUCUGAAGUCAUUUUAAAUAACUGUGACGUCGGUUUCUUUUCCUUCCUCUCCUUGCCCUGAGGAUCCUCUCAGCCUCUCGUGUGGCAGAAUCGCUUUACAGGAGCACUUGCUCAUCUUUGGUCCCUGUGAAGUCAUAAGAUGGUCAGGGUGGUUUUCCGUUGUGCAAACCCCUCACCUAUUCAGUUGUCUCCUUGUUUUGCCAUGCUCUGGAAAAAUAAAAA
ensembl:lncRNA